CCGGAUAAACACCUGUCUAAACACCUGGAUCUAAACCCAUUCCAAACUAACAACCUGACUGUGUGUGGCAUGGAACUUUCACCAGACAGUGAUGCCUGAACAGCCUCGAAUGGUUGCAAAUGGAAAACAAUGACACCUUUUUGCCUUUGAGGGAGAAGUGCCUGCUCAUAACGCCAGAGAUGGAGCCGCAAGGGAGGAGAGGGAGAACAAAUUCUGAGAGAUGAACGGUGCCGUGAGUGGAUGGAGAAAGAGGCAACCCUACAGAAUGAACUGGAACAUAGGGGUGAACUGGGGGCGAAGGAAGGCAGAAUGUCUAGAGAUUGGAAUGGAGGGGAGUCGGGAUUGUAACCGGAGGGUUGCUGGAUGGAAUCCCAACCAGGUCGAGAGCUGUGAUGGUUCUGCUAAUUAUACUGUGUUUGAGUAGAAACUAGUGUAACAUGAGUCAACACAUAGAUUUAAAAAAAAAAUUCUAUCACGUUUUUAGUAAUGUUUGUCAUUUUGGAAUUUUAACUGUGACCAUGUUUAGUUUAUUGACAUAAGUACAUAAAUGAAGUUUAUUUAACUUGAUUAGAUUUGCUUUUUAAGUUGUUUAAUUAGCUAAACUAAAACCAAACCAAAACAAUGCCAUUGUGUUGAAGGGAUCAGUAGUUUACCAUGAAGUUCAGAAAAUGUACCAAUAACCAAUAACCUUACAUAGAAAAUGAGGAAUACAUAGUAAAAUGUCUCUGCUGGAAACGUCUCAAGACAGAGAAAAGAAGCUCCACUUAUGGAUUCCAUGCCACCAUGCAUCGUAUGUGCUAGUAACCUCUCCAUGGUCGGCAGCUCUCCACUGCACAAAAAGUGCAUGAGUUGAAGAUGAUGUGAUUAUUUGCAGUAAUGUGUUUAUGUGUGAUUAUUAUAAUAUUCCAUUAUUUGCAUCACAAGUUUACUAGUAAGGCACUAUUCAUUUUGUGAAAUAUAAAAUGUAUGAAGAUCAUUGUUUUUGUACAUCACCUAUCACUGUGGGCAACAUCUGAUAGUUUUCUAUAGGUCUUUUUUCCUC